AUUGAACGCUGGCGGCAUGCUUUACACAUGCAAGUCGAACGGUAACAGGCCUUCGGGUGCUGACGAGUGGCGAACGGGUGAGUAAUGCAUCGGAACGUGCCCAAUCGUGGGGGAUAACGUAGCGAAAGUUACGCUAAUACCGCAUAAGCCCUGAGGGGGAAAGUGGGGGACCGCAAGGCCUCACGCGAAUGGAGCGGCCGAUGUCAGAUUAGCUAGUUGGUGGGGUAAAGGCUCACCAAGGCGACGAUCUGUAGCGGGUCUGAGAGGAUGAUCCGCCACACUGGGACUGAGACACGGCCCAGACUCCUACGGGAGGCAGCAGUGGGGAAUUUUGGACAAUGGGCGCAAGCCUGAUCCAGCCAUGCCGCGUGCGGGACGAAGGCCU
rnacentral:rRNA from 1 species